rnacentral:lncRNA from 1 species
ACUCCAGCUUCUCCUGCCUUAUACCUGCAGGCAUCAGAACCCCCGGAGGGCUUCUUAAAACAUAUGGAGCCCCAGAGUUUCUGGUUCAGUCAGUAUGAGAUCAGGCCAGAGAAUCUGCAUUUCUGAUCGGUACACAGUCCUGAAAGAGGAGGAAGACAACAAAGACAUAUAACUAAACGCAAACACAUUGCCAUGGCGCCAAAGAAAUGAGAAAGAUCAGGGUGGGACCUGCCGUCUUUCCUGCAAUUGGGCUAGUUCAAGCUGUA